GAUGAACGCUGGCGGCGUGCCUAAUACAUGCAAGUCGAACGGGGAGUAGCAAUACUCUUAGUGGCGAACGGGUGAGUAACGCGUUGGUACCUGCCCCGAAGCGGGGGAUAACGGACCGAAAGGUCCGCUAAUACCCCAUGUGCUCGGUAACGAGUAAAGGUGAAAACCACUUGGGGAGGGGCCUGCGUCCCAUCAGCUAGUUGGUAAGGUAACGGCUUACCAAGGCGAUGACGGGUAGGGGACCUGAGAGGGUGGCCCCCCACAAUGGAACUGAAACACGGUCCAUACACCUACGGGUGGCAGAAGUAGGGAAUAUUGGUAAUGGGCGCAAGCCUGAACCAGCAACGCCGCGUGUGCGAUGACGGCCUUCGGGUUGUAAAGCACUUUUGACUGGGACGAGGAAGGACGGUACCGGUCGAAUCAGCCUCGGCUAACUACGUG
rnacentral:rRNA from 1 species